AGUGAACGCUGGCGGUAGGCCUAACACAUGCAAGUCGAACGGCAGCACAGUAAGAGCUUGCUCUUACGGGUGGCGAGUGGCGGACGGGUGAGGAAUACAUCGGAAUCUACUUUUUCGUGGGGGAUAACGUAGGGAAACUUACGCUAAUACCGCAUACGACCUACGGGUGAAAGCGGGGGACCUUCGGACCUUGCGCGAUUGAAUGAGCCGAUGUCGGAUUAGCUAGUUGGCGGGGUAAAGGCCCACCAAGGCGACGAUCCGUAGCUGGUCUGAGAGGAUGGUCAGCCGCACUGGAACUGAGACACGGUCCAGACUCCUACGGGAGGCAGCAGUGGGGAAUAGUGGACAAUGGGCGCAAGCCUGAUCCAGCCAUACCGAGUGGGUGAAGAAGGCCUUCGGGUUGUAAAGCCCUUCUGUUGGGAAAGAAAAGCAGCAGGUUAAUACCCCGCUGUUCUGACGGUACCCAAAGAAUAAGCACCGGCUAACUUCGUG
rnacentral:rRNA from 1 species